GCCUUCAUGGUGUAAUGGAUAACACAACGGUCUUCGGAACCGUUGAUCUGGGUUCGACUCCUGGUGAAGGCA
rnacentral:tRNA from 1 species